rnacentral:rRNA from 1 species
UCCCAGACUCCUACGGGAGGCAGCAGUGGGGAAUAUUGCACAAUGGGGGGAACCCUGAUGCAGCGACGCCGCGUGGGUGAAGGAGCACCUCGAUGCGUAAAGCCCUAUCGGCAGGGCAGAAACAGACGGUACCUGACUAAGAAGCCCCGGCUAACUACGUGCCAGCAGCCGCGGUAAUACGUAGGGGGCAAGCGUUAUCCGGAUUUACUGGGGGUAAAGGGAGCGUAGACGGCUGCGCAAGUCAGAAGUGAAAGCCCGGGGCUCAACCGCGGGACUGCUUUUGAAACUGUGUAGCUAGAGUGCAGGAGAGGUAAGUGGAAUUCCUAGUGUAGCGGUGAAAUGCGUAGAUAUUAGGAGGAACACCAGUGGCGAAGGCGGUCUGCUGGACAGUAACUGACGGUGAGGCGCGAAAGCGUGGGGAGCAAACAGGAUUAGAUACCCGCGUAA